GGAUGAACGCUGGCUGUGUGCCUAAUACAUGCAUGUCGAACGAGUAGCUUGCUACUAGUGGCGAAUGGGUGAGUAACACGUGCCUAAUCUGCCUUUCAGAUUGGGAUAACAACCGGAAACGGUUGCUAAUACCGGAUACGUAAUAUUUUCGCAUGAUUAUAUUAUAAAAGGGGCUCUUGGCCCCACUGGAAGAUGAGGGCGCGGAACAUUAGUUAGUUGGUAGGGUAACGGCCUACCAAGACUAUGAUGUUUAGCCGGGUUGAGAAACUGAACGGCCACACUGGGACUGAGAUACGGCCCAGACUCCUACGGGAGGCAGCAGUAGGGAAUAUUCCACAAUGGGCGAAAGCCUGAUGGAGCGACACAGCGUGCACGAUGACGGCCUUCGGGUUGUAAAGUGCUGUUAUUAGGGAAGAACACUAGGUUGAGGAAAUGCCUCCUAGCUGACGGUACCUAAUCAGAAAGCGAUGGCUAACUAUGUGCCAGCAGCCGCGGUAAUACAUAGGUCGCAAGCGUUAUCCGGAAUUAUUGGGCGUAAAGCGUUCGUAGGUUGUUUGUUAAGUCUGAUGUCAAAGCCCGGGGCUCAACCCCGGUACGCAUCAGAUACUGGCAAGCUAGAAUUAGAUAGAGGUAAGCGGAAUUCCAUGUGAAGCGGUGAAAUGCGUAGAUAUAUGGAAGAACACCAAAGGCGAAGGCAGCUUACUGGGUCUAUAUUGACACUGAGGGACGAAAGCGUGGGGAGCAAACAGGAUUAGAUACCCUGGUAGUCCACGCUGUAAACGAUGAUCAUUAGUCGGUGGAGAGUUCACUGACGCAGCUAACGCAUUAAAUGAUCCGCCUGAGUAGUAUGCUCGCAAGAGUGAAACUUAAAGGAAUUGACGGGGACUCGCACAAGCGGUGGAGCAUGUGGUUUAAUUUGAAGAUACGCGGAGAACCUUACCCACUCUUGACAUCUUCCGCAAAGCUAUGGAGACAUAGUGGAGGUUAACGGAAUGACAGAUGGUGCAUGGUUGUCGUCAGCUCGUGUCGUGAGAUGUUAGGUUAAGUCCUAUAACGAGCGCAACCCCUAUUUUCAGUUACUAACGAUCAGAGUCGAGGACUCUGGAAAUACUGCCUGGGUAACCAGGAGGAAGGUGGGGAUGACGUCAAAUCAUCAUGCCUCUUACGAGUGGGGCGACACACGUGCUACAAUGGUCGGUACAAAGAGAAGCAAUACGGUGACGUGGAGCAAAUCUCAAAAAACCGAUCUCAGUUCGGAUUGAAGUCUGCAACUCGACUUCAUGAAGUAGGAAUCGCUAGUAAUCGCAGAUCAGCCAUGCUGCGGUGAAUACGUUCUCGAGUCUUGUACACACCGCCCGUCACACCAUGGGAGCUGGUAAUGCCCGAAGCCGGUUUGUUAACUUCGGAGACGACUGUCUAAGGUAGGACUGGUGACUGGGGUGAAGUCGUAACAAGGUAUCCCUACGAGAACGUGGGGAUGGAUCACCUCCUUUCUACGGAGUACAUUUACAUACAAUUUUAUUGUAUAUAUUCUAUUAUUGCUAAUCUCAUAAAGCAAUAUCACAAAUAAUUUUAAAAUUAUUUAUACCUUUUAUUAUACGAUUAUGGACAAAUAUUUAUAUCCAGUUUUGAGGGAAUUAUCUCUCUAAUUUAUAGUUCUUUGAAAACUGAAUAGAAAAGACAUUUGUAAAUAAAUAUUAAUAUUUCAAACGUUUUGAUCAACCAAUAUAGAAUACAUCAUAUCUAAUUUCUUAAUAAAUUAAAAUUAGGACAAUAUAGGUCAAUACUAUUAAAUAAGUAAGAGUUUUUGGUGGAUGCCUUGGGUCUGGAAGUCGAAGAAGGACGCGAUUACCUGCGAUAAGCCUCGUGGAGCUGGAAAUAAGCUACGAAGCGGGGAUUUCCGAAUGGGGAAACCUAGCUAGAUUAAUCUCUAGUUGUCAUGCUGAUGAAUACAUAGUCAGAUGAACGAGACACGUUGAGAACUGAAACAUCUUAGUACCAACAGGAAAAGAAAAUAAAAAUGAUUCCCUGAGUAGCGGCGAGCGAAUGGGGAAGAGCCUAAACCAGCAUUUGUUGCUGGGGUUGUAGGACAGCUUACAUGGAGUUACAAAGUUCACAGAUAGCAGAAGGAGUUGGAACGCUCCACAAUAAAGGGUGAAAGUCCCGUAUGCGAAAUUUGUGAGCCUCUUAGCUGUAUCCUGAGUAGGGCGGGGCACGUGAAACCCUGUCUGAAUCUGCCGGGACCAUCCGGUAAGGCUAAAUACUAACCAGACACCGAUAGCGAACUA
rnacentral:rRNA from 1 species